rnacentral:rRNA from 1 species
UACAGGGGGUGCAAACGUUGCUCGGAAUCAUUGGGCGUAAAGCGCACGUAGGCGGUUCGUUAUGUCGGAUGUGAAAGCCCUUGGCUUAACCGAGGAAGUGCAUCCGAAACUGGCGAGCUAGAGUACUAAAGAGGAUCGCGGAAUUCCCGGUGUAGAGGUGAAAUUCGUAGAUAUCUGGAGGAACACCGGUGGCGAAGGCGGCGUCCUGGACCAAUACUGACACUGAAAAGCGAAAGCCAGGGGAGCAAACGGG